rnacentral:rRNA from 1 species
UACGAGGGGGGCGAGCGUUGUUCGGAAUUAUUGGGCGUAAAGCGCGCGCAGGUGGUUUCUUAAGUCUGAUGUGAAAGCCCACGGCUCAACCGUGGAGGGUCAUUGGAAACUGGGGGACUUGAGUACAGAAGAGAAGAGUGGAAUUCCACGUGUAGCGGUGAAAUGCGUAGAGAUGUGGAGGAACACCAGUGGCGAAGGCGACUCUUUGGUCUGUAACUGACGCUGAGGCGCGAAAGCGUGGGGAGCAAACAGG